rnacentral:rRNA from 1 species
ACUCAAAUGAAUAGACGGGGACCCGCACAAGCAGUGGAGUAUGUGGUUUAAUUCGAAGCAACGCGAAGAACCUUACCAGGUCUUGACAUCUGAAUGACCGCCGCAGAGAUGUGGUUUUCCUUCGGGACAUUCAAGACAGGUGGUGCAUGGUUGUCGUCAGCUCGUGUCGUGAGAUGUUGGGUUAAGUCCCGCAACGAGCGCAACCCUUGAUCUUAGUUGCCAGCAUUUCGGAUGGGCACUCUAAGGUGACUGCCGGUGACAAACCGGAGGAAGGUGGGGAUGACGUCAAAUCAUCAUGCCCCUUAUGACCUGGGCUACACACGUACUACAAUGGCCAGUACAACGGGAAGCGAAACCGCGAGGUGGAGCCAAUCCUAUCAAAGCUGGUCUCAGUUCGGAUUGCAGGCUGCAACUCGCCUGCAUGAAGUCGGAAUUGCUAGUAAUCGCGGAUCAGCAUGCCGCGGUGAAUACGUUCCCGGGUCUUGCACACACCGCCCGU